GAUGAACGCUGGCGGCGUGCUUAACACAUGCAAGUCGAACGGAAAGGCUCCUGCUUGCAGGGGUACUCGAGUGGCGUACGGGUGAGUAACACGUGGGUGAUCUGCCCUGCACUUCGGGAUAAGCCUGGGAAACUGGGUCUAAUACCGGAUAGGACGAUGGUUUGGAUGCCAUUGUGGAAAGUUUUUCGGUGUGGGAUGAGCUCGCGGCCUAUCAGCUUGUUGGUGGGGUAAUGGCCUACCAAGGCGUCGACGGGUAGCCGGCCUGAGAGGGUGUACGGCCACAUUGGGACUGAGAUACGGCCCAGACUCCUACGGGAGGCAGCAGUGGGGAAUAUUGCACAAUGGGCGCAAGCCUGAUGCAGCGACGCCGCGUGGGGGAUGACGGCCUUCGGGUUGUAAACUCCUUUCGCUAGGGACGAAGCGCAAGUGACGGUACCUGGAGAAGAAGCACCGGCUAACUACGUG
rnacentral:rRNA from 1 species